rnacentral:lncRNA from 1 species
CAACAAGCGCCGUGCGCCCCGCCCCCCAUCGGGGGCAACCAUUGUUCCGCCGGUCGCGCCGGAGCUGGGUUGCUCCUGCUCCCGUCUCCAAGUCCUGGUACCUCCUUCAAGCUGGGAGAGGGCUCUAGUCCCUGGUUCUGAACACUCUGGGGUUCUCGGGUGCAGGCCGCCAUGAGCAAACGGAAGGCGCCGCAGGAGACUCUCAACGGGGGAAUCACCGACAUGCUCACAGAAAAGCAGCAUCUGUUAUAGCAAAAUACCCACACAAAAUAAAGAGUGGAGCUGAAGCUAAGAAAUUGCCUGGAGUAGGAACAAAAAUUGCUGAAAAGAUUGAUGAGUUUUUAGCAACUGGAAAAUUACGUAAACUGGAAAAGAUUCGGCAGGAUGAUACGAGUUCAUCCAUCAAUUUCCUGACUCGAGUUAGUGGCAUUGGUCCAUCUGCUGCAAGGAAGUUUGUAGAUGAAGGAAUUAAAACACUAGAAGGCUCACAGCUGGAUUCAUGCCCAGUAAAGGGACACCUGAAUGGAACUGAGUCACUUUUAGACUUAAUAUGGGAUGUUAUGACAAUUCUUAAGUUAAAAAAUGCAGAUCUCAGAAAAAAUGAAGAUAAAUUGAACCAUCAUCAGCGAAUUGGGCUGAAAUAUUUUGGGGACUUUGAAAAAAGAAUUCCUCGUG